GAAGAAUAUUUACGCGUCCACAGUAAAUUUGGGAUCGGGAAUGUAUACGAACGCAAGGAAAACAAUGGGAUCGAAAAUACAUUUAAACGACCAAAUAUCCAAAGUUUUUGAAGUCUAAAAUACAUAGAGUAUAGGGCGGUCAGUAAUCGAAUUGGAGAGAGGGCAAAUGAGGACGUACUCUGGUUUGAAUUUAGAAACCAUCGUUGCAUCCCAGAUACACAAUUACAAUGAAGAUUUCGUC